GACGAACGCUGGCGGCGUGCCUAAUACAUGCAAGUCGAGCGAACCAAUUGAAAGCCUAGCUUUCAUGAGGUUAGCGGCGGACGGGUGAGUAACACGUGGGUAACCUGCCCUAUAGACUGGGAUAACUCGCGGAAACGCGUGCUAAUACCGGAUAACACAUCARAGUGCAUGCUUUGRUGUUGAAAGAUGGUUCUGCUAUCACUAUAGGAUGGGCCCGCGGCGCAUUAGCUUGUUGGUGGGGUAACGGCCUACCAAGGCGACGAUGCGUAGCCGWCCUGAGAGGGUGAUCGGCCACACUGGGACUGAGACACGGCCCAGACUCCUACGGGAGGCAGCAGUAGGGAAUCUUCCACAAUGGGCGAAAGCCUGAUGGAGCAACGCCGCGUGAGCGAAGAAGGUCUUCGGAUCGUAAAGCUCUGUUGUAAGGGAAGAACAAGUGCAGUAGU
rnacentral:rRNA from 1 species